rnacentral:rRNA from 1 species
GACGAACGCUGGCGGCGUGCUUAACACAUGCAAGUCGAACGGAAAGGCCCUGCUUUUGUGGGGUGCUCGAGUGGCGAACGGGUGAGUAACACGUGAGUAACCUGCCCUUGACUUUGGGAUAACUUCAGGAAACUGGGGCUAAUACCGGAUAGGAGCUCCUGCUGCAUGGUGGGGGUUGGAAAGUUUCGGCGGUUGGGGAUGGACUCGCGGCUUAUCAGCUUGUUGGUGGGGUAGUGGCUUACCAAGGCUUUGACGGGUAGCCGGCCUGAGAGGGUGGCCGGCGACAUUGGUCCUGCGGUACGGACCAGACUGCUACGGGAGGCAGCAGGGGGGAAUAUUACACAAUGGGCGGAAGCCUGAGGCAGCAACGUCGCGUGCGGGAUGACGGCCUUCGGGUGGGAAACCGAUUUCGCCUGUGACGAAGCGUGAGUGACGGUAAUGGGUAAAGAAGCACCGGCUAACUACGUG